rnacentral:rRNA from 1 species
GAUGAACGCUGGCGGCGUGCCUAAUACAUGCAAGUCGAGCGAACAGAUGAGGAGCUUGCUCCUCUGACGUUAGCGGCGGACGGGUGAGUAACACGUGGAUAACCUACCUAUAAGACUGGGAUAACUUCGGGAAACCGGAGCUAAUACCGGAUAAUAUAUUGAACCGCAUGGUUCAAUAGUGAAAGACGGUUUUGCUGUCACUUAUAGAUGGAUCCGCGCCGCAUUAGCUAGUUGGUAAGGUAACGGCUUACCAAGGCAACGAUGCGUAGCCGACCUGAGAGGGUGAUCGGCCACACUGGAACUGAGACACGGUCCAGCCUCCUACGGGAGGCAGCGGUAGGGAAUCUUCCGCAAUGGGCGAAAGCCUGACGGAGCAACGCCGCGUGAGUGAUGAAGGUCUUCGGAUCGUAAAACUCUGUUAUUAGGGAAGAACAAAUGUGUAAGUAACUAUGCACGUCUUGACGGUACCUAAUCAGAAAGCCACGGCUAACUACGUG